rnacentral:lncRNA from 1 species
AGUUUCAAUUGGUUAGACACAUGGGAAGCUUUUUCAAAGCUAAAACCAUCAGUAUCUGUAAAAGCAUUUGGAUCAGCUUGGGCCAUCUCUUUGCUUUCUUCACACCUGGGCAAGCUCAGUGACCAGCUCUAAGAUCAAUGAGAAAUAUUCCUUGGGCCAUUGACCUUUUGUUCAUUCUUUUUCUAGGUGUAUCUCCAGCCUUGUAAAGAACUAGCUUAGGAUUCCAGAAAUCAGUAUUCAGACUGAAAUCUUGGGACCAGAAUAACAUCAAAGCCAAAAUGCAAGUUUCCUAGAGGACAAAUUGAUCUGCCUUGAUAGAUGAAGUUUCUCACCUGGGGCUUCCCUCACUCUAGAAAUUCCAGGUCCCCUUCAAAAAAAAGGUCUUUGGGAGUUGCUUAAGUACUGUGAUUUGCCAGUAUGUGUCAGAGGCAAGAUUGAAUGCCAGGUCCAGUUCAAGGGUGAUUCUCUAUCCAAUAAUCUGCUUCUAUUGCUUCUAUCAGCAAAAUUGAGGGUAAGUAGGCUGCCAUUUGUUGUUGAUAAGGCUAGGGUGAACAAUCAAGCUUUUUUUUUUUUAAACCAUGUUAAAUGUGCUCUGGUC